rnacentral:rRNA from 1 species
UACGGGGGGGCAAGCGUUGUUCGGAAUUACUGGGCGUAAAGGGCUCGUAGGCGGCCAACUAAGUCAUACGUGAAAUCCCUCGGCUUAACCGGGGAACUGCGUCUGAUACUGGAUGGCUUGAGUUCGGGAGAGGGAUGCGGAAUUCCAGGUGUAGCGGUGAAAUGCGUAGAUAUCUGGAGGAACACCGGUGGCGAAGGCGGCAUCCUGGACCGGCAUUGACGCUGAGGCGCGAAAGCCAGGGGAGCAAACGGG